UACGAAGGGGGCUAGCGUUGUUCGGAUUUACUGGGCGUAAAGCGCGCGUAGGCGGCUUUGCAAGUCAGGGGUGAAAUCCCAGAGCUCAACUCUGGAAUUGCCUUUGAGGCUGUGAUGCUUCGAGUACGGGAGAGGUGAGUGGAAUUCCCAGUGUAGAGGUGAAAUGCGUAGAUAUUGGGAAGAACACCGGUGGCGAAGGCGGCUCACUGGCCCGUUACUGACGCUCAGGCGCGACAGCGUGGGGAGCAAACAGG
rnacentral:rRNA from 1 species